rnacentral:rRNA from 1 species
CCUGGCUCAGAGCGAACGCUGGCGGCAGGCCUAACACAUGCAAGUCGAACGAACUCUUCGGAGUUAGUGGCGGACGGGUGAGUAACACGUGGGAACGUGCCUUUUGGUUCGGAAUAACUCAGGGAAACUUGUGCUAAUACCGAAUGUGCCCUUCGGGGGAAAGAUUUAUCGCCAUUAGAGCGGCCCGCGUCUGAUUAGCUAGUUGGUGAGGUAAAGGCUCACCAAGGCGACGAUCAGUAGCUGGUCUGAGAGGAUGAUCAGCCACAUUGGGACUGAGACACGGCCCAAACUCCUACGGGAGGCAGCAGUGGGGAAUCUUGCGCAAUGGGCGAAAGCCCUGACGCAGCCAUGCCGCGUGAAUGAUGAAGGUCUUAGGAUUGUAAAAUUCUUUCAGUAGGGACGAUAAUGACGGUACCUACAGAAGAAGCCCCGGCUAACUUCGUGCCAGCAGCCGCGGUAAUACGAAGGGGGCUAGCGUUGCUCGGAAUUACUGGGCGUAAAGGGAGCGUAGGCGGACAUUUAAGUCAGGGGUGAAAUCCCGGGGCUCAACCUCGGAAUUGCCUUUGAUACUGGGUGUCUUGAGUAUGAGAGAGGUAUGUGGAACUCCGAGUGUAGAGGUGAAAUUCGUAGAUAUUCGGAAGAACACCAGUGGCGAAGGCGACAUACUGGCUCAUUACUGACGCUGAGGCUCGAAAGCGUGGGGAGCAAACAGGAUUAGAUACCCUGGUAGUCCACGCCGUAAACGAUGAUUGCUAGUUGUCGGGAUGCAUGCAUUUCGGUGACGCAGCUA